rnacentral:lncRNA from 1 species
GAAAUAUUUUUCAAUAAAUAACAUCAACAUCAACAAUGAAUUCUCCAAUAAUAAAUUCUGGCACAAAGGCCUCAACAUAAUUAAUCAUCAACAUUUGUUUCAAAACAAGCAACAACAAAAGGCUCCAACAGCAUGUUUCAAAAUUGAUACAUAAGGAAUGAAAAUAAACAACUAAUUCUCAUCCCGUUACGUAUCAGAGCCCUAGACACUUGAGCCACCACAUCUACUACUCUGGAUCACCUGCAAGUUACCAAUAGGAAGGGCAACAUUUCCAAGCAGAAGGGGUGAGAUUCACAAACAACAAUAAUAGAUAUAAAAUUCAUCAAUUAAAUCUAACUCCCUAAAAUAACAAUAAUUCUUCAAUAUACAUAUAUAUUUCAUAAUCAACAACAUCAUCAACAUAUGGCAAUUUCAACCAACAUCAAUGACUCAUGCAAUGACAUGACGACCCCAAUAUGACUCAACAACAAAAUGCGACAAUGCACAUGCAUGUGGUACCAUUUUACGCGUUUGAAUGACAAGGCAUUCCAGGGCAUGAGCCCUCACCGAAUUUGAAUGGUUAGAGCAUUCAUAGGGCAUAAGCCCUCACCAAUUUGAACGACAAGGCGUUCCAGGGCAUGAGCCCUCACCGCUUUGAACGACAAGGCGUUCCAGGGCAUGAGCCCUCACCACUUUAUGUUUAUGCAAUAGACUCAAAAUUUGUGUAUAUCAACAUACAACUCAACAAUGCAUAAAACGACAUCUGCUACCCAACGAUGCAUAUAUAUAUGAAUAUGACAUACACCCCAACAAUUCAACAACAUGUAUGAUUUAUUUAGAUAUAAGUAUACAUCACAGUCAUCAACAAUUCAUCAUAAUUAAUUCAAUAGCUCCAUAAAAUAACACAAUAUAAUUAAUUUAAUCAUGUUCCUACAUCAAGUUCAUUCAUUUCUAUUCAAAACAUAGCAAACAGCUUAAGGUACUAGGCAUCGCCUCGCGAGUGUAACACCCCGUUUUCCCAAUAUAAAACUUCAUUUUUAAGCUCCAUAUUCAUCUUUUUAAUCUAAAAAUUGUCCCAGUCCUCUCUAAAAACAUUCAGGCACUCAAAACUAACCAACUUAUACCUUAUAACAACAAUCUGAAAAUCAUGAUCUGUCACUCACUUACUCGCCAUGGCGAGUGGUUCUGCUCGUGGGGUGAGCCAUGAAGUUGUUCACUCGCGAGGCGAGACAGGCUACUCGCGGGGCGAGCGAUGAAUGUCUGUAUGGGCAGAAUGCAGGUUUUUUCCAAGAAUCCCAAUUUUCUCAAUUUCACUCCCCAAAACAGUUUACAGAAGUGUAAUAAAAUGUUGUAUGCAAUCUAAACAUAUUUCUAUCACUAAUGUCAUGGAUUCUACACUCUUUCCAUCCAAAAAUCAAAGAAAUCAAAAUCUAAACCCAAUUCCCAAACUAACCAAAAACAUGUUAAACCAAAAUAAGAAUUAUAAUCUAUACAAUUGAAAGUAAAUCUCACCCUUACCUUAAUUCAGACGAACAAACUCUACAGAAUUCUGGUUCUCUUGGCUCUUCUCCCUUGUUCUUGGUUUUUCUCCCAAAACUUGAUUGUACGUAAAAACAGUGAGUAGACUUCUUAUGUCUACGAUGACCAUGAGUGAGUAGACUUCUUAUGUCUUUGGAUUGUUGGAUAAGUCUAAUGACAUAAUCCUAAUCAAGUCAAGCCUUAAACCUUAAUAUUAUGUAACCCUAGUUUCUCUUCUAAAUUCAUCGUUUUUAACAUGGAUUAAAUAUUAUCUAACUGUGGAAACGAAAGUGGAGAGUUUGAUAAUCGUUAAUCCAUCAUUCUAAAUGUUAAUUCAUAAAACGAAAGUGGAGCUUUAAUAUUCGAUCAAGUGAAUUUAGACAAGGAUUGGGAAACAUGAAAAUAGUCUAGUGAACCUUGAGACUUAUAGAGUUUCGAACUUCAAGGAUUCUAAUAGUAAUCAACCAUGAAAAUAGGCGUGCUUGCUAGAGGAACACAAUCACUGAGACCGAUAGGAGAUGUGAUACGCUUAAGAGAAACUCGUCUUUAUAAACUAGGUCUAAAAUAAGGUUUAGGUUUAAUGGCUUGGCUUGUGAAUGAUUUGUCGCAUAUGACAGACCAACGAUCCCAAGGCUCUCUUUUAUUAUUAUUUUCGCUUUCAACCAAUUGAAAACAACAAUCUUAUAUUCUUAAUUCUCUUCUAAUCACCAACUAAAGUUAAUUGAAUUAAACAACUCCCUGUCGGAACGAUACUCUUUUCAUUACUACUUCGGUAAGACCGUGCACUUGCGGUUUUAUCCCAUCACCAGCCUUGUGGCUCUAUUGGAGUUGUUCUCAGAGACUCUCUCUCUCUCUACUUUUCUUGGGGCCAUAUCCAGCAACAUAGGCUAUGCUACACCUUUAGAAGCCGAGUUUAGUGCUUGUAUGCUAGCUAUUGAGAAGGCCAAGGCGCUUCAUCUAUCUCGUAUUUGUCUGGAAACUGAUUCAUUAAGUCUGGUCAAGGCCUACAAUAAUGAUAUGGGCAUACCUUGGCAGAUGAGGGCCGUAUGGAUAAACUGUAGGAAAUUUUGUGACAGCAUUUCAGAUACUUGUGUGCAUGUUCAUAGAGACGGCAAUAUGGUAGCAGAUGUAUUAGCUAAAAACGAACAGGGCCUCUCUUGGCAUUCCACUUAAUGAUGGCCUUUGUAAUGCCCUAUUUCUAUUAAAGCGAUAAAAAACGCGAAUAAUAUAAUAUUCAAGAAAUAGACGUCACGUCAUGAACAAAAUCCAAAACAACAUGCAUGUAUAAAAAUUCUCAACAGUUGCAGCAAAUAUAAAUCAUACACCUCAAAAGUAUACAUGACAUGAGAUCGAAUACAUCAUCAUAAAAUUCUCCAAAACAUAAAUAAAUCCAGGAUAGACAAUCCAUAAUAGAUCAUAAGACAACAUCCUAGGUCAGAGCCUAUCCUACGACUCUACGGAACCGAUAACAAAGAUAGCUCCCGCUAUCCAAGCAGUCACUGAGCAAAUCAUCAAAGCAACUAAUCAUGCACUUCGUCUACCCAUCCAUACAGACAGGUAGGCGGUAAAAUCCACUGGGGGGUAAGCUUUACAUCAAUCAUAAUCAAUAAAAUAAAUUUAAACAUAAAUGAAUCAUUCCAAGUAAAUAAUUAACAUGAAUAUUUAAUCUCAAUAAUAAUUCAUAAUGAUAAAUUCAAGUAUCACAACCAAUCACUCACAAUCACAAGUAUAUCAAUUAUUUUCACAAUUAGGACUCAUGCCACAAUAUGAUAUGCCCCUAUACACGACACAUAAAUGCAUGCGGUACCGUCGUCAACAACGUCUAGCCCGUCACCCCAUGAUGCCAACAAAACAUCAUAAUCACCUCAAUUGGAUAUAAAAUCUGUCACCAUCAGUCAUGAAUGCAUGAACAUAUGACUCAACAACAAUGCAUAUGUUCACACAAACAAAUCACCACAUUAGAUAUAAAAUCAGUCACCAUCAGUCAUGUAUGAAUAAACAUAUAUCUCAACAACAAUACAUAUGUUCACACAAACAAUUCACCACAAUCUCACCAAACAUUUAGCAUAUAUGCAUUCACCACCAUCAUUCAAUAUCAAUACAUGAAUUUCCACAUUUCAAGUAAAGAUGAAAUACAAUAAUCUUAUGAUGAACAUCAUAUCCAACACAUAAAAAGUCACUCACAUAACUUCAUUUAAUCAUUCAAAGCUAUUCACCAAAGAUUUACAAGUUAAACGGCUUUAAAGAAUCAUUAUCGACAAAGUCUGUAUCAAGUGGCAAAACGGCCAACUUUGAUAAUUUUCAAAGCAAGGUAACUUAAUCAAGUUUUAAAACCGACAACUCCAUCUUAAUCAAUCAUGUAGUCAUGAGAUUAAGCCACUUACAAAGUAUUAAACAUUAGUUCAAAGAUUAGCUUAAGUUCGUGUGAGAAAACCCAAAGUUCACAUUUCCACAUUCCCACCCGAAAAAGGAAGUUUGACAUGAUUGAGAAAUUAAACCACUAUACAAGCCUUGCCUAAGUCCACAUGGAUUGUAGACUCAACGUGUAAUCCAUUUCAGUUCACAAAAGUCCAUUUCCGGCAAAAUUCGAAAAUUACCAAAAGUUCAAGUUUCAACCAAAAUAGAAAAUCCCAAAUUCGAAUGAGUAAAUCAUGUUCCAGUAGGUUUAGGAGUACAAACAGAGAUUAAACAAGAUGAAAGAAGUAUUUUACAAAGUUUGGAUUGACUUCCUAAAGCCCGGAACGUAAAUCAAAGGUUGUUGAAACUGGGCAUGUUCGCUUAAGCAACCACCUAGUUCGCUUAAGGAACAAGUUCCAAUAGCUUACAGAAAAGUUCGCUUAUGGUUCACUUACCGGUUCGCUUAAGCGAUCGAGUUCCAGAACCUACUGUGAUUGUUCGCUUACAGCUUCGCUUAGCGUUCGCUUAAGGGAACAGUCAUCAGUUUUGCAGAAAAAUUACGGGUUUCAACCCUUUUUCACCCAAAAAUCCCAAUUUUGAUCUCCCAAGGUUCAAAUAUGUUUCCAAAGUUUGUUUACAGGUCAAGACACUUAAAAUGACUCUCAAGAACACAUCAAACAUUACAACAAAUGCCAUUUAAACACAAUUCACCAAAUCAACCCAUUUCGACAACAACAACUCAUUUCUCAUCAUCAAUUCAUGAUUUAUACAUACCCAAGCUGUGAAUCAUCAACAACAAUAUCUCUUAACAACAACAACAUCAAUUAAACAUGAAUCUCAUCACAAUUCAACAACAACAUAGCCCAAUUCAACAUUUAGAGCACAAUUCACAAUAUACCAUUUUCACAUACUAUGAACAUGCAAUUUCACCAACAACAAUUCAAUUAUCACCAAUUUCAUAUACUCAAACAUAACAUCAUAGCAAGAGCACGAAUUUCAACAACUAUGAGAAAAAUAAUCACUUAUUCAAUUAAGCACUUAAGCAUGCAAUUAAUGAAAAUUACAACUAAUUGACUAUGAUUGAAAUCUAACCCCCUUACCUCAAUUAGCAAAUAAUCCUAGCCAAAGCUUCAAUUUAUCUUCUAGGAUCUCUAUCACCUCUUGAGUCUUCAAGCUUUUCUCCCUUCUAACCCUUUUCUCUUCUCUUGAACUUUCUCUCUCUAACUCUCUCAAAAU